rnacentral:tRNA from 1 species
CCUGGUGGCUCAGAGGGUAAGCGUCUGCCUGCAAUGCAGGAGACCUGGGUUCGAUCCCUGGGUCAGGA